rnacentral:tRNA from 1 species
GCCUUUUAAGCUAGAGAAAGAGGACCACCAACCCUCCCUAAUGAU